ACCAGACUCCUACGGGAGGCAGCAGUUGGGAAUAUUGGACAAUGGAGGAAACUCUGAUCCAGUGACGCCGCGUGAAGGAAGAAGGUCUUCGGAUUGUAAACUUAUUUUGUCAGGGAAGAAAAAAAUGACUGUACCUGAAGAAAAAGCACCGGCUAACUACGUGCCAGCAGCCGCGGUAAUACGUAGGGUGCAAGCGUUAUCCGGAUUUACUGGGUGUAAAGGGCGAGUAGACGGCGUUGCAAGUCAGAUGUGAAAACCUAGGGCUCAACCGUAGGACUGCAUCUGAAACUGUAAUGCUAGAGUGCAGGAGAGGUAAGCGGAAUUCCUAGUGUAGCGGUGAAAUGCGUAGGUAUCAGGAGGAACACCGGCGGCGAAGGCGGCUUACUGGACGGCAACUGACGUUGAGGCCCGAAAGCGUGGGGAGCGAACAGGAUUAGAUACCCCGGUAA
rnacentral:rRNA from 1 species